rnacentral:rRNA from 1 species
UGGGGAAUUUUGGACAAUGGGCGAAAGCCUGAUCCAGCAAUGCCGCGUGUGUGAAGAAGGCCUUCGGGUUGUAAAGCACUUUUGUCCGGAAAGAAAUCCUUGGCUCUAAUACAGUCGGGGGAUGACGGUACCGGAAGAAUAAGCACCGGCUAACUACGUGCCAGCAGCCGCGGUAAUACGUAGGGUGCAAGCGUUAAUCGGAAGUUACUGGGCGUAAAGCGUGCGCAGGCGGUUUGCUAAGACCGAUGUGAAAUCCCCGGGCUCAACCUGGGAACUGCAUUGGUGACUGGCAGGCUAGAGUAUGGCAGAGGGGGGUAGAAUUCCACGUGUAGCAGUGAAAUGCGUAGAGAUGUGGAGGAAUACCGAUGGCGAAGGCAGCCCCCUGGGCCAAUACUGACGCUCAUGCACGAAAGCGUGGGGAGCAAAACAGGAUUAGAUACCCUGGUAGUCCACGCCCUAAACGAUGUCAACUAGUUGUUGGGGAUUCAUUUCCUUAGUAACGUAGCUAACGCGUGAAGUUGACCGCCUGGGGAGUACGGUCGCAAGAUUAAAACUCAAAUGAAUUGACGGGGUCAUAGCUG